rnacentral:rRNA from 1 species
UCUAAAGCUAAAUAUUGGCGAGAGACCGAUAGCGAACAAGUACCGUGAGGGAAAGAUGAAAAGCACUUUGGAAAGAGAGUUAAACAGUACGUGAAAUUGUUGAAAGGGAAACGCUUGAAGUCAGUCGCGUCGGCCGGGACUCAGCCUUGCAUCCGCUUGGUGUACUUUCCGGUCGACGGGCCAGCAUCAGUUUUGACCGCGAGAUAAAGGCGGAGGGAAUGUGGCUCUCUCGGGAGUGUUAUAGCCCUUCGUCAGAUGUCGCGGUUGGGACUGAGGAACUCAGCACGCCUUUAUGGCCGGGGCUCGCCCACGUACGUGCUUAGGAUGCUGGCGUAAUGGCUUUAAACGACCCGUCUU